AUUGAACGCUGGCGGCAGGCCUAACACAUGCAAGUCGAACGGUAACAGGAAGAAGCUUGCUUCUUUGCUGACGAGUGGCGGACGGGUGAGUAAUGUCUGGGAAACUUCCUGAUGGAGGGGGAUAACUACUGGAAACGGUAGCUAAUACCGCAUAACGUCGCAAGACCAAAGAGGGGGACCUUCGGGCCUCUUGCCAUCGGAUGUGCCCAGAUGGGAUUAGCUAGUAGGUGGGGUAACGGCUCACCUAGGCGACGAUCCCUAGCUGGUCUGAGAGGAUGACCAGCCACACUGGAACUGAGACACGGUCCAGACUCCUACGGGAGGCAGCAGUGGGGAAUAUUGCACAAUGGGCGCAAGCCUGAUGCAGCCAUGCCGCGUGUAUGAAGAAGGCCUUCGGGUUGUAAAGUACUUUCAGCGGGGAGGAAGGGAGUAAAGUUAAUACCUUGACUCAUUGACGUUACCCGCAGAAGAAGCACCGGCUAACUCCGUG
rnacentral:rRNA from 1 species